AUGAGAGGGCACUACAUGAGCAUAAUAUAUAUUGGAAGCAUGCCAGACAACCAGACCAAGAAGGCCCUUGCAGAGAACUCUGGGCCAAAUAAAACAUGUCAGCUGGCAGCUUUGGUCGCUGCCGACAAGCCCUGCUCAGAGACCAGAGACUCCCCGCAGUGCUGCUCCUGGCCCCAGAGACCCCCUCUGCGUCCACUCAGCACGGGUAGGAAAAUACUGACUGGGCUCCCACACGGGCACGGCGCAAUCAGCAACCACUGCACGUUCCUCCCCGCUCCCCUCCUGGAGGAGCCGAAACAAACAGGGCAAGCCUGCCCUGCUUUGAUUCCGAGCAGACUAGCAGGGUCAGCCCCUAUUCCCAGGCCCUUGGGGGUCCAAGUUCAAAGGGACAAACACGUGCCCUUGCUCCAGCUCUAUGGGUCCCAGCACCAAACCACAGCCCCCACCAGCCCUGGUGCUGCCCCUGCAGUUACUGUAGCAAGGCGAACCCUGUGCAGAGGCAAAGCCGGGGACUGGGAGCCUGUGGCCGUGGGCAGGCGAAGGCGUGUGUCGUCAUGGUGACCCAGGACUUCCAGAACCAUCUAGCCUCAAUGGGCCUCCUCUCUGGGGUUCCAGGGCUUUCUUUCAGUCUCUCCUGCAAGUCCUCUCUACAUGAUGGCAAUGUUUUCUCUCAAGGUCCCGCAAAGGCGCCACACUUGGGAGGCAGCGUAGAGUGGCACAGCUCUGCCACCACUUGGCAUCACCCCUGCAGCCUCAGCGCCCUUGUGGGUGAAGCAGAGAGAAUCGUGUGACCAUGUCGAAGGUGAGGAUUCAAGGAGUCAGCACGGGGCCGCUGCGUGGGGGCGCAGUGGGUUAAGCUGCCACUUGAGACUCCAGCGUCCCAUAUGGCAAUGCCUGCCGGAGUCCUGGGACUUUCGCUUCUGAUCUAACCUCCCGCUAAUGUGCAUUUGCGAGGCAGCAGAUGGCAGCCCAAGUCGAACUCCUGGCUUCAGCUUGGACAAGCCUUGACUCUUGCAGGCAUCUGGGGAGUAAACUGAGGUGGGAGAUCUCUGUUUCUCUCUCUCUCCCCCUCUCUCUCCUCAGCCAUUCAACUAGAUGAAAAUAAAUAGAACUUUAAUGAGUUUACA
rnacentral:lncRNA from 1 species